rnacentral:pre_miRNA from 1 species
UCUAAAACUUCAAAUAUGGGCUAAACACCAAAUAAUGUUUGGGCUACAAAACAUAUUCAAAUUUUUUUUUUGUUGCUAAGAUUUGAACUGGAAAACGAUAGUAUUGAAUCUUAGGCUUCUCGUCAAUAUUUUAUGCCUACAUCUUAAGUUUCCAUC